AGAACGUGCCUGUCAGCUCUUCCUGCUCUGUUGUAGAACUGCGAUCGCUCAGGGAGUCAGAGGCAAACCUGGUGGCCCAGUGGCAAGCACAGCCGUGGUGGCCACAGCUCUCCUUACUACUACUACUUGGAGUUUAUUAUGAGGCCCCUUGAGGCUGUGCCCUGUGUUAGGUACAUCCAAGGUUCUGGUUCAUCCCUUAGGAAGAUUUUGUGUCUGAGAAGGCAGCGUGAAGUCUGGCAACACUUUGCCGAGCGUGAAUUCGCCCAGUUGACGGGCUGUGGAAAAGGGGGUUAGUAGAUGAGUGUGGGAAACACUGGGUUCAAGAAAGUUAGUUGGAUUUUUUCAAUCGCAGGACUUCUCAAGAGCUUCACUGUGCUAAUGCGCAGUGUGACUCCUAAGGAGGGCUGCCAACAGGCAGUUGCCCAAUCUUUUUUUUUUUUUUUUAAAUUUGUUUUAGAGCCAGGGUUUCACCCUGUCACCCAGGCUAGUCUCAAACUUCUGGGCUCAAGCAAUCCUUCCACCUCUGCCUGCCAAGUAGCUGGGAAUAGAGGUGUAUGCCAGCACACCUGGCCCCAAACCAUUUUUUUUUUUUUUUUUUUGAGACAGAGUCUGGCUCUGUCACCCAGGCUGGCAUACAGUGAUGCAGUCUUGGCUCACUGCAACCUCUGCCUCCUGGGUUCAAGUGAUUCUCCUGCCUCAGCCUCCCGAGUAGCUGAGAUUACAGACGCCCACCACCACACCCAACUUACUUAUUUAUUUUUUCCCCGAGAUGGAGUCUUGCUCGAUUGCCCAGAUCUGGAGUGCAGUGGCGUGAUCUCGGCUCACUGCAACCUCUGCCUCCCAGGUUCAAGCAAUUCUCCUGCCUCAGCCUCCCAAGUAGCUGGGAUUACAGGUGCACCACCAUGCCUGGCUAAUUUCUUUUUUUUUUUUUUUUUUUUUGAGAUGGAGUCUUACUCUGUAGCCUAAGCUGGAGUGCAGUGGCACAAUCUUGACUCACUGCAACCUCUGCCUCCCAGGGUGAAGCAGUUCUCCUGCCUCAGCCUCCCAAGUAGCUGGGACUACAGGCGCAUGCCAUAAUGCCCAGCUAAUUUUUUUUUUUUGUAUUUUAGUAGAGAUGCAGUUUUACCUUGUUGCCCAGGCUGGUUGCAAACUCCUGAGCUCAAGCAAUCUGCCCGCCUCAGCCUCCCAAAGUGCUGGGAUUACAGGCGUGAGCCACUGCCCCCGGCCUAAUUUUUGUAUUUUUAGUAGAGAUGGGGUUUUACCCUGUUGGCCAGGCUGGUCUCGAACUCCUAACCUCAAGUGAUCCACCCACCUCAGCCUCCCAAAGUGCUAGGAUUACAGGUGUGAGCCACUGUGCCUGUCUUGUGCCUGUGUUCUUCUAGAGCAAAGCUCCCCACUGGUGCAUGGAGGCGGCAUCACAUUUGUGUUCAGAUAGGGAUCCCCUCAGUCAUCAGGGCCCCUGGGCAGGGUCCCCAGAAGCUCGCCACUGGCCUUGGCAGCGUGCUGCCGAUACUUUCUUUUGCGGUGGCACGAAGAUGACCUGAAGCUCUGCUGUAGAGCAAGUGUUCAUGGAAACUGAGAAUGAAAAUUCAAAGUGAGACCAGCGCACGCACCGGUGUCUUCUUCUGGCCUCUGACCCCUGUCUCAUCUCUUUGCCAGGCUGGAAGUGCACCUUGUUGGAGGCUUCAGUGACGACAGGCAGUUGUCACAAAAACUCACUCAUCAACUUCUUAGUGAAUUUGACAGGCAAGAAGAUGACAUUCACUUAGUGACAUUAUGUGUGACAGAAUUAAAUGACCGGGAAGAAAACGAAAACCACUUUCCAAUAAUAUAUGGCAUUGCUGUCAACAUUAAGACUGCAGAGAUUUACAGAGCCUCCUUUCAAGAUCGGGGUCCGGAGGAGCAGCUGCGUGCUGCGCGAACUUUAGCAGGAGGACCAAUGAUUAGCAUUUACGAUGCAGAGACAGAACAACUUCGUAUAGGACCGUACUCCUGGACACCAUUUCCACAUGUGGAUUUCUGGUUGCAGCAAGAUGACAAGCAAAUACUAGAGAAUCUUUCUACUUCACCUCUGGCUGAGCCGCCCCACUUUGUUGAACAUAUUAGAUCUACCUUGAUGUUUUUAAAAAAACACCCAUCUCCAGCUAACACACUGUUUCCUGGAAAUAAAGCCCUACUCUACAAAAAAAAUGAAGAUGGCUUGUGGGAAAAGAUCUCUUCUCCAGGAAGCUAAAAAACAUGAAUUACCAAAGAAAGCACCUUCUUGGCCUGACAGACCAUUGGUGGGGCUGGCACGAAUCCAGAUUUGGAUCCUACACCCGUUGGGUCUUAGGCCUCCUUCCCUCCUCAGUGUCUUUCAAAUGACUUUCAAAAUAAAACCUUAUUUUGGCAAAGGC
rnacentral:sRNA from 1 species